GUGCUCGCUUCAGCAACUCAUAUACUAAAAUUGGAAUGAUACAGAGAAGAUUAGCAUGGUCCCUGCGCAAGGAUGACAUGCAAAUUCAUGAAGCAUUCCAUAAAAAA
rnacentral:snRNA from 1 species